GCCAGAUAAUCUAAAUAAGAUACUUCGCUGUAAACGAAAUAAUAAGAAAAUAACCUCUUUCUAGCCAA
rnacentral:tRNA from 1 species